AGAGUGUGCCAUCUUAUUACUGAGAACCGAGAUACUCUCGUUGCUCUCGUUGCUCUCGUUCGACUAGGUUAAGUGACUCGAAAGUAAUUAUCAUUCGAGGAUAUCUCUUUUCCCGGAGGAAAUAGAAAUCCAGGUAGUAAUAAUAUAAUAGCGUUUCCGUCAACGUUGACGACGACGACUAGAUUGCAAAUAUGGAGGACAAAUUACGGCAAAUGGAAGAUGAGAUGAACAGAUUUGAAGCUGAGAUCGGAGGGCAGCUCGUGGCGCCGAUUGUAAGACCGGUGAUCGGCGCGAACACGUACAAUCAGGUCGCUAGACAAUUGGAGCAACACGAGCACACGCCAGUAGUCGCGGCCGCUGCGGCAGCGACCCUGGCCUUUCCUCCGAUGAUCGGCUUCCCACCACCGCCACCGCCUCCGCCUCCUCCUCCACCGCCGCCGAUGUUGAUUCCUCAACAAGUGGCUCGACAAGGUACGGUCCCUAUUACGACAUACUCCUCGCCCGCGCAAAUAAGUAAUCCGUACAUGUCGAAUAUGGUGGACCCGUGUUUAAGCGCAACACCAAAAACCUACGAUUCUUCCUCGACGCCGAUGAUUCAUCCGGAGAUUAUCGAACAAAUUAUUAACACAAAGAUCCCCGAAGACGAGGGUAAGAAAAAGCCAAAGGUUAAAGGGGUCAGUACGGCGGCUGAAUUGGCCAUCAGCCAAGGAAAAGCGAGCUCCAUUAUGGCUAACGCCAGUGCCGAGGAGAGCCAUCCUAAGGGCAAAGGAAAGAAGAAUAAGAAGAUUAUAAGGACGGCCGGUGGCCAAACGUGGGAAGACCCUUCUUUGUUAGAGUGGGACGAAGAUGAUUUCAGGAUAUUCUGCGGAGAUCUAGGCAACGACGUCACCGACGAGAUGCUGGUGCGGGUAUUUGGCAAGUAUCCUAGUUUUCAAAGAGCUAAGGUCGUCAGAGAUAAACGGACUAAUAAAACCAAAGGCUUUGGAUUUGUGUCCUUUAAAGAUCCGCAAGACUUUAUCAAGGCAAUGAAGGAAAUGAAUGGUGAAUUUCCAACACUCCUGAAAAAAUGGAUGACAAACGCAUCGUCGAGGAACGCCCCCGUGUCAACGUUUUAGCGGUGCGUAUCGUGACAUCGUCCGUAUAGGAAAUUGGAAUUGGUUUCGAAGCGAAUGUUUACGGGUAGAAGUAACGCCAAGGAACGCGUUCAACGUGCAAGCGAGUCCUUUGCUAUCCCCGCGCUCGACGCACCAUAAAGUUCAUAGACCCGUUUGUUACUCGGCGAACAUUAAUCAUCGCCACAAUGGUGACUUUGUCGACAGGCGGCUACCACGCUACCCGUGUAUACACACACACACACAUGCGCGCACAUCCGUGUGACAACAAGUUAAACGAGCCUGUGGAGGAG